GAUGAACGCUAGCGGCAGGCUUAACACAUGCAAGUCGAGGGGCAGCGCGGGAGUAGCAAUACUUCUGGCGGCGACCGGCGGAAGGGUGCGUAACGCGUGAGCAACAUUCCCGCAUCUGGGGGAUAAGCACUGGAAACGGUGUCUAAUACCCCAUAACAACAGGGGUCACAUGACUUUUGUUUGAAAGCUACGACGGAUGCGGAUUGGCUCGCGUGACAUUAGCUAGUCGGCGGGGUAACGGCCCACCGAGGCGACGAUGUCUAGGGGUUCUGAGAGGAAGGUCCCCCACACUGGAACUGAGACACGGUCCAGACUCCUACGGGAGGCAGCAGUGAGGAAUAUUGGUCAAUGGGCGGAAGCCUGAACCAGCCAUGCCGCGUGAAGGAAUAAGGCCCUAUGGGUCGUAAACUUCUUUUGUGGUGGAGCAAUAAGGGCUACGCGUAGUCCGAUGAGAGUACAUCACGAAUAAGCAUCGGCUAACUCCGUGCCAGCAGCCGCGGUAAUACGGAGGAUGCAAGCGUUAUCCGGAUUUAUUGGGUUUAAAGGGUGCGUAGGCUGUGCCGCAAGUCGGGGGUGAAAGCCCGGGGCCCAACCCCGGAACUGCCCUUGAUACUGCGGCGCUGGAGUUCGGAUGCCGUGGGAGGAAUGAGUAGUGUAGCGGUGAAAUGCAUAGAUAUUACUCAGAACACCGAUUGCGAAGGCAUCUCACGAAUCCGACACUGACGCUGAGGCACGAAAGCGUGGGGAUCAAACAGGAUUAGAUACCCUGGUAGUCCACGCAGUAAACGAUGAUGACUAACUGUCGGCGAUAAACAGUCGGUGGCCAAGCGAAAGCGAUAA
rnacentral:rRNA from 1 species